UACGUAGGGGGCAAGCGUUGUCCGGAUUUAUUGGGCGUAAAGAGCGUGUAGGCGGUCAGAUAGGUCCGUUGUGAAAACUCGAGGCUCAACCUCGAGACGCCGAUGGAAACCAUCUGACUAGAGUCCGGAAGAGGAGAGUGGAAUUCCUGGUGUAGCGGUGAAAUGCGCAGAUAUCAGGAAGAACACCCGUGGCUAAGGCGGCUCUCCAGUACGGUACUGACGCUGAGACGCGAAAGCGUGGGGAGCAAACAGG
rnacentral:rRNA from 1 species